rnacentral:piRNA from 1 species
UAAAAGAGUGCCAGGAAAAUAGUCCAUUCU